CGUUUAGUGUGAAGGAAACGAAGUCGUUAGAAAGCAGGAUACUGGCUACGCUGAUCGCGAGAAAGUGAUGUCAGCCAUUAUCUGCAAAUUAAAACGGGGAAUUGACAGAUUUUCUUAGCCAGAGGCUGACGUUUUCCUGUAUUCAAGAAUGAGGAGGAACGUAACGAUUCACGGUCUCGUUCCUUCUGCAAUUUCAGUCAUCCUGCUGACGCACCGUUGCCUCGUUGGUCGAGGACGCGACGAGUCGCGUUCACCGUGAAAUUUUUUCCACGUAUGCAUCAAACGAGAGACGCGACUUAAUCGAGUUUAAUUGUCGAUUGCGCUGGCAAACUGAGAAGAAGCUGCAUACGCUCUCGCGUAUUUUAAAAAGAAAGAAAAGAAAACGGACGCUAUAUACGUGAACUGUGCGUUUAUUCACUCUGACCGGCAUCUACACGCGCGCGUAAAUACAAAUUGAAACAGAAAUUGCAGUAGAAAAUUUAUUAAUUUUUUUUUUAGUUCCUUUUCUUAUUUCUUUAAAAGAGAAUUCCAAGUCUUUAGUUAUAGUUGUUACAGCUGACAGGAUUCGUAGACACGUAUCUGUUGAAUGCGAAACUACAGUAUGUAUCUACAUACAGGCAGUGCUGCGAACUUACGUAAUUUCGCCUGCCAUAAGUCACGCUUUUCUUUCGUCGAAAAUACUGGGUUUCCGAGAAAUCUGUGUCGUUUCAUUCUCUACUUAAAUACUUUCAACCAUAUCGAUUGUAUUAUGUAAACAUUGAUUUAUCUAACGAUAAGUAGCUACAUACUAAGUAGCGCUUGAAAGUAUUCUUAAUAAUGCGUGCAAUUCUACACACUUAACAAGCAUAUUUAGGAAACAAGUACUCUGAUUUUUAUCGUUGGAUCUAAUUACCUCAACAAAUAAGGACAGACACGGGAGACGAUAAGUCUGCGAUUUCACCCGGAUAUUAUUUUCUUAAUACGAUGAAUGUUUUGCUGGGGAUUUACUGGAUAAGAAAUGAAGAUGCUAAACAAUUGUUUCGUUCUCCACUCGCAAGAAAGACCGAGCCUACAAUAGUCGUCUUCAUAAGAGCACGUGUUGACCGAAAUGAAACGUAUGUUAACGAUUACGUAUUCACCGCACAGUUAAUUAUUUAAUCAAGAUGCCCAACGCUGUGUCGCGGAGCCUAGUUGAAUCUCCAGGUGAGAUGUUAUAGUAUCUUAUCGAUUAACCGCAAAACUAUAAGAGGGUAGUUUUUCUCACGGCCGAUGAUGGGAAAUGAUGAUGGUAAUAAUGUGAAUGCAGUUACAUUUUGAAUUAAGGAAGAAUGUGCCUUUCUUUGAACAAGCAACGACGUCGCCAGUAUUACGCUGUUAAUCAAUUUACGAAUCGCGAUAUGCAAGAUCAAUUCCGGUGAAGAAUGACGAAAAACGACAAUAAAUUGCAACCUUAGAUUUUGAUCUCCAUUGACACGAGGUUUAUUUUAUUUAGAAACAAAUGCGAAAUAAAUUGCGGUAAUUACGAUUCGUCCUUGUCUUAAAGCAAUGCACAAUAAUGUGACGCACACGUGUGCAUUUCAUUCACAAUGUUUCGAUCGAAAUCGUUCGUUGCUUAUCACGCGAUCGGAAAAACUACCGAUAAAUCUAGUAAUUCCGUUUAAACAUAUGAUAGAACUUCACGUCAGCGGCACACAAUGGAUUUAUACUAUCAACGAAUUGCAACAAACAUCAAACGCGUGAAAAUACGAUUUAUCUGUGGACUUUUCCUGUACGUUAAUGAACAUUUACAGAUUCGAUUCGUGAUAAACUUUUAGUAUAGGUUUAUCGCGACGCACGAUGGAUACAAACGAUGAUGAAGUUUGUAUAUGUAUAGAAGGCUCAUGACAAAAGAUUUAUAAUGUGCAGUGAAAUUUGAUAUCUUUGGGAACGAUAAUGCAUUCAAUUUCAUUAUAAACGCGGUCAGAAAAAUUAUAUUCGAUGAAAUAUCUACUAGAAGCGAUGACAGGUGCAGGAUAAACAAAUAUUGGCAUCUAUUUGUUGUGUACAUAAUGUAUGUACGUAUAUGUGUGCACUUGCAAUUUGCAUUUAUCGUAAAUAAGAUUUUUUAAAAUCCUUCACUGAUG